CUGUUAUAAAAAGCUGUUUGCUGUUUGGUAACUACAUUUAUAAAGUACUGUGGCACUUUAACAUAUGUUUGAUAAACAAACUGAGAAAGUACUUUUGUAUGACAAAAUUACCAUAAAAGAUAUUGCAUAGUAUUAUACAACAGAACAUAAUAAAACAUAACAUAUAUUAAUACAUAAAUAUACGAUAUAGUAUAAUAUUAUUAUAAUAUAAAAUAUAUUAUU
rnacentral:lncRNA from 1 species